GUGGGGAGCAGUCUGCAGGCCUGGGCAGGCGGCUCUGUAAAGGAUGCUCUGUGGUGGUGAGAGAGAGGGUGUGCAGCGGACGUGGCCAUAAAUCACCCUCCUCACGGCAGCCCCACACCCAUGGAUCAGGGCAUGGGCACAGGGCCAUCUCUUUCCAGGAGAAGGGCUGGUGUGGGUGGCCAGAUCCUGACCGUCUCCAGGCCGUAGGACACAGCCAGAAGACAGAGCAGUUCCUCAGUUUACCCACAGCACCAGCCUCACAGUAACAGCCAGCACACAGCACUUAGGCUGCCUGGUGUUCCAGAAGCUUCUGCGGGGGCUCUAUGCUGAGCUCAAGGCACCCCUAAGAGGAGGGCAUUUUGCUGUCCCCACUUUGCCGAGAAGGAACUGGGGCUCGGGGUGGUUUAAGGCGUGAAUGAAUGAAGGAGCAAGCAGUAAGCCCCGACAGCAAGGCCACCACAGCCCUCACCCCACAGGGAAGCCUGAGCAAGGACCCAAGCAGGGGACAAGCAGGCUCACCCCGCCCUUGCGGGACUGACCACGAGGCCCCGUGCGGUGGAACGCGCCAUGACACUUCAGAAGGCUCGUGUAGCUAGCGCCGUAUCGGACAGCGGGGGAGAGAGAAAAUGCACAGUCCAGGGAAUGUGGAGACAGGCCCAGUGCUGGGCAUGGGGGCUGGAAGGAGCAGCCGGGGAACAGGGGUCAGGGCCUGGAGUCCCGCCUUGCAGGUCAGAGGUCAGAGGUCAGGGAAGGCCUGGGUGGGGGUGAAUGAACAGGCCCCCCAGUGAUAUCAGAGGGGCAGGCGGGGAAGGGUCCCAGAAGAGCACCUCGGGGAGUAUGCACA